rnacentral:lncRNA from 1 species
UUCUCUUUGAAAUCAUUCAAAAUGUACCAAAAUCAACAACAAGCCAUCCUCAACUCACACAUUGACACUUUACCAAGGUUUCCAAAACCACACCCAACCAUUUUAACACUUCUCAGUCAAAUGACUAAAGGACAAACACAAUAUCAUGUCAUACAUCCUUCCUCAUCCCAAUUUCCAAUAAUACCAUUUCCAAUUAACCAUCAUUAUACAUAAUCAACAUCAUACUCACCAUCAACAUGGUACCACCCAUCAAUUCAACCUCAAUCAUCCAUCAAGCAUAUAUCACAACAUGCAUUUCUCAUAUAUCACACAAUCAAGGUAUCAAUAUUCAUAAUCACAUAUAUGAACACAUCAUAUAUUUCAACCAUUCAACAACACCAAAAAUUCAAUGCCUAUCUUAGGGCCUCUAGCCUAAGUAUUUCCUACCACAUUACAUAUUAGAUACGGGAAACUAAAACCAUACCUUAGCCGAUUCCCCAAGCUCAACCGGAGCACUUCCAAACCACUUGUCCACAAGCUCUCAAGGUAUCAAAACCUCCAAGAACAGAUUUUAUCACACAAAACCCCCUUCCAAGCUUUCCAAAAUCACCAAUCAAGCUCCAACUUUCACAUAUACACAACCUAAGCCACAAUCAUCAUACCCAUACACAACAUCUCAAAACCCAAACAUCAUAGAACAACAAAAUCACACUAGGGUUGAGAAUCUUACCACACCCAAGGUCCAAGGAGAAAAGAUUAACCUUCUCCUUCAAGAGAGUUGGGUCCUAUAACAUCAAAGAACCCAAAAUCUCAACAUUUUACCCAUGAAACUCGAAAAUAAGGGCUGGAAUUUCGAACAGAAACACGUGGCUUACCUCAAGAUUAGUUGUAUGGGUUUUGUAGAGCUCUCCGCGGUGAACGCGUGG